AAGAGGCAGGAACACAGUUCAUGCCAGUCAACACAGCUUUAUAAAAAAUACCACCUUAUCACGCAAACUAAUUUAUAUACAUAUUUUUUAGCAAGAUUCCAUACUCGGAAAGGUAAUCUAAGUAUUUAUUUCUUCUAUCCUGGUCAGCUUCCUGAUAAAAACUGGCAUUCUGACAUCAGUAAAACAUGUUCAGUACCCUUCAAAAAAUAGUCCAGAAGUAGCUGGAAUAGACUCACGGCCUCCUGCGCACGUUCCCAGAGCAGCUCCCCAGAAAGAGGGUGGUAAAACUGGCCCAGCGCAGUGCUGCGGCUGGCGAUUUGGAGCACAGCCUGGCAUCAUCCCUGACGACAACAUCGAGGCACAAAGCAUGCUACACCUUGAAGGUGGCAGUAAGGAAGAGCAGAGGGCAGGGGAGCAACAGUGCAUCCACAGCGUAGUUUACACAACGUAGAUCUCUUCUCCACUGCAUGAAGAAUAAAAAACAUUAUUCCAUCAUU